rnacentral:rRNA from 1 species
UACGAGGGAUGCAAGCGUUAUCCGGAAUUAUUGGGCGUAAAGCGUUUGUAGGCGGGCGAGUGUGUUUAAUGUUAAAUCUUAAAGCUCAACUUUGAAAUUGCGUUAAAAACUGCUUGUCUUGAGUAUGGUAGGGGUAAAGGGAAUUCCCAGUGUAGCGGUGAAAUGCGUAGAUAUUGGGAAGAACACUAAACAGCGAAGGCACUUUACUAGGCUAAUACUGACGCUGAGAAACGAAAGGUAAGGUAGCGAAACGGAUUAGAUACCCGUGUAGUCUUACCCGUAAACUAUGGACACUAAACGGUAAAUUUUUAAUUUACUGUUAAAGCUAACGCGUUAAGUGUCCCGCCUGGGGAGUAUGCUUGCAAAAGUGAAACUCAAAGGAAUUGACGGGGGCCCGCACAAGCGGUGGAGCAUGUGGUUUAAUUCGACGGUACACGAAGAACCUUACCAGGAUUUGACAUGCUAGAUAGUUGCUUGAAAGAGUAACGUGCCGUAAGGAAUCUAGACACAGGUGGUGCAUGGCUGUCGUCAGUUCGUGUUGUGAAAUGUUGGGUUAAGUCCCGCAACGAACGCAACCCUUGUCUUUAGUUAUUUUCUAAAGAGACUGCCUGUAAUAAACAGGAGGAAGGUAAGGAUGAGGUCAAGUCAUCAUGCCCCUUAUGUCCUGGGCUACACACGUGCUACAAUGGGAAAGACAAUGAGCUGCAAAUCUGUAAAUUUAAGCAAAUCUCUUAAACUUUCUCGUAGUUCGGAUUGUGGGCUGCAACUCGCCCACAUGGAGUUGGAAUCGCUAGUAAUCGCCAGUCAGCUAUAUGGCGGUGAAUCCGUUCCCGGGCCU